rnacentral:lncRNA from 1 species
CUCUUAGCAUUUUAGCUUCAUUUGUUUCCUUAACAACAACCUCCCUGGACUUUGAUCAAACUGUGCAUCGUAUCCACCAUCUGUUAGACAUAAGAAAACAAUAUUAGCAACAUUGCACAAAAACAAAUCUACUAAAACCAACUGAAAGAUCGACACAAACCUGUGCGUAGUAGUGAUUGUCACCGAACGUGUCAAGAUUCUUAUUGCAGAUGUCAACAAAGAAAAAAGAACCAGCCUUGUAAGGACCUAAAAAAACUGCUGCAGCAGAGAAUCUAGCAUACAACCCUUCUGC